CAGGAAACCAGCAGCCCGUGAAACUAGAAGGGGGAUCAGAGAGCAGACAGAACCACACACAUGGCUUUUAACCGACUGUAUCUUUCUUCCUGACAGCGAAAGGAAAGAGUUGGCCGGAUCCAGGUGACACCAAAUAGUCUGAGUCAGCAAAUGCGUUUAGAGCUCCAUUCCAGGACGUCAGCAACAACAGGGUAAUUCAGUCUCUUUUUCUUUCUACUUGUUUUUAAACACUUAUUUUUCCGUUAUUGCCCUGCUGGGUAAGUAGUUAUUUUUAUGAAAACAACGACAUUCGUGCUACUUGAUCUUCUUCUUUUUCUUUUUUGGUGCUGUUCUUGAUGGGCAUGGAACUCAGGGUCUCACAAGCGCUAAGCACUCACUACACCACUGACUCACCCCAGCCCCUCCUCUGCCAUGUGAGAGCUUGCUGAAUGGCUUGUUCUGGAACUGGCUUUCAAAUCAAAUUCAUGUUUUUCUCUAGAGUUGGAGAACAAUAAAAUGGUCAUUGGUC